UACAGAGGUCCCAAGCGUUGUUCGGAUUCACUGGCGUAAAGGGUGCGUAGGUGGUGGGUAAGUCGGAUGUGAAAUCUCCGAGCUCAACUCGGAAAUGGCAUUGGAAACUACCCUGCUAGAGGGUCGGAGGGGGGACUGGAAUGCUUGGUGUAGCAGUGAAAUGCGUAGAUAUCAAGCGGAACACCAGUGGCGAAGGCGAGUCCCUGGACGACUCCUGACACUGAGGCACG
rnacentral:rRNA from 1 species